CUUUUCUCCCUGCACGGUGUCAUGCCCCAACAUGGUGAUCAUCAUUUCCAGUGCUAAUUGGGUCCAGAGGAUUCCCUGAGGAUUUUCCAUGUGGGAAGCCUCCAUAGUAGGUUAUUGUAUUACUGUUCUGUUUCCAGUACCUGCAUUCCAGUUCAGUGGGAAGCGGACUUCAGUCGGAGUCGCAGAACUGGCUUCCACAUCUUCUGCCAUUUUCUCAGGAGCAUCAAGUGAAUCUUUGGUGUGCUGAAGGUGAAGUCCAGCUUCUUUGAGCACUAGACACAUUUUCAAGCCAAAGCCCAUUCUUUCCUACCUUCUCUCUUAAUGUUGAAAGAUUUUAAAUGCAGGACAUACUAUUGAUAGCUCCCUGUGCUUGCACUCGCGCGCGUGCGCACACACACACACACACACACACACACACACACACACACACACAUCACACAUCAAAUGUAAUUUCCUCAAUAUCUUGCUUCACAGCAGUCUGCCUGCCUCUAAUGGCCACAUCUUCUCCUAUACCUGCUAUGCUCAGGGCUGGCUUUCCAUUACCUUCCCAGCUGCCCUACCCAUUGUGGUCACUCUGCUCUUCCAUGUGUUUCUAUACAUAUUUAUGUGUAAUUUACUUAUUUGCAUUUACUUAUCUAGUUAUAGUGUUAUGGCAUGAGAUUACGAUAAUCCAUAUUUCAUGUGGAAAUUAUAAAGAUGGAAUUGAGUUGAUGUAUGGUAGAUUUUCGAUAUCUUAAGAGUUGUUUUUUUUUUUUUAAACGUGCAAAGAUCAUAGGUACAAACAGUGAUGAGUGUUAUUACACCAUUCCCAUCAGGGUGCUGUGGUGGUUAGUUUGGGCCAACUUGAAAUAAAUCAACAUCAUGUGGGGGAAACCUCAAGUGAAGAAAUAUCACUAUCAGAUUGGCCUAUCUGCAAGUCUGAGGCAUUUUCUUGAUUGUUAAUGGAUGCAGAAGGGCACAACCCACCGUAGAUGGUGCCCACCCUAGGGCUGGUGGUCCUGGGCUGUAAAAAAAAAAAAAAAGGCAAACCGAGUAAACCUUGGGAGGCAAAUCAGCAAGCAUCCUCCUCCAAGGCUUCUCUUUCAUUUUCUGCUCCAGGUUUGUUCCUACCUUGAAUUUCUGCCCUAACUUCCCUCAGGAAUGGACUCUGAGUCUCCAGUAUAAGCCAAAUUAGCCCUUCUCCUCCCCAAGUUGUUUUGGUCAGUGUUUUAUCACAGCAACGGAAAAGCAAACUAGGACAACUGCAUUCUAUGAAAGAGAGAGAGAGAGAGAGAGAGAGAGAGAGAGAGAGAGAGAGGGAGAGGAAGAGGAAGAAAGGGAAGAAGGAAGGAUAGAUAAGGAAGGAAAGAAAGAGAGGAAGAAAGAAAGGAAGAAACAAA
rnacentral:lncRNA from 1 species